GAUUAAUAGUUGGUGUGACUGUAGUCUAUAUACCUAUCAUAGCACUGGCUGUAUUGGUAAUUGUUUUGCAUAUGAAAAGAACAGACCAAAAGAGAGAACCAGAGAACGACAUUGCAUUGCAAAGCAUUCCAACUUAUGCUACAAUUGAUUUUAAAGCAAAAUCAUCAAACAGGCCUGAGACUUCUGAAUACGAAGUACCACCUUUUUAAUAAUGUUCCCACUCAUCUUUCAUCAUGUACACUAUUAGUGAUGCAAAUAAACAUAUAUUUAAUACUACCACUUAAAUUAAUGCAUAUUGUGUUUGUGUUAUAGC